UACGUAGGGCGCAAGCGUUGUCCGGAAUUAUUGGGCGUAAAGAGCUCGUAGGCGGUUUGUCGCGUCUGCUGUGAAAACUCGAGGCUCAACCUCGGGCUUGCAGUGGGUACGGGCAGACUAGAGUGCGGUAGGGGUGACUGGAAUUCCUGGUGUAGCGGUGGAAUGCGCAGAUAUCAGGAGGAACACCGAUAGCGAAGGCAGCUCGCUGGGACGGUACUGACGCUGAGGUGCGAAAGCGUGGGGAGCGAACAGG
rnacentral:rRNA from 1 species